UAUUUUCAGGACAUAGUGAUUAACACAGUGUUCCACUGUUGGGCAAGGUGCAUUGAAUAAGAAAUUAUAGAAUGUUCAGCCCUAAUGAGAAUAUAUAUAUAUAUAUAUAUAUAUAUAUAUAUAUAUAUAUAUAUAUGUGUGUGUGUGUGUGUGUGUGUGUGUGUGUGUGUGUGUAUAUAUAUAUAUAUAUAUUCACUCCACACUUUCUUUGUCAGGGAUCAUCAACAAAGGGGGAUUGGAAAAAUAUAAGAUUCAUAGGCAGUGAAUGACUAUGUCUUCUGAACAGAGGAGGACAACCUCAUAUGUUAAUUCACAGAGAUUGUGAUAUCAUGUACAAUACCUGUACAAGCUGAAACCAAACCAAUUUACCUCACUGAGGAACAAGUAGGACACCCAACCCUACCACUAAUCAGGGUGUAAUUGACAGAUGUUAACUACCUGGAAAGGAAGGGUCAGUUUUCUCUAAGAGUGUAGCCCCUGGAAAGUCAAAGAUGUUCCAGGAGAAUGGGACAUAUCCAUGGAUGUUUUGAAUAGUACUGAUUGGUCUUGAAGGAUUGAGAAAAGACAUAAAUGUGUGUGUGUGUGUGUGUGAGAGAGAGAGAGAGAGAGAGAGAGAGAGAGAGAGAGAGAGGAGAAAACAAUUUUUUUUAAAAUGCCAUGAAUUUGAGAGGCAUAAGGGUCAAAGUUGGACACUGAAAGUAUUGGAAAGGGGAGAAAAUGGUGUGGAAAUUAUGUAAAUAUUCAUGUAUUAAACAUUUUAAAACUACAAAAAAAUUUAAAAAGAGAUGUUGCUGAUAUGAAACGUUCAGUCAACACUUUAUGUGAAAAGUACAGUUUACUUCGUUGUCAGGACUGUGGGGCCGUGGACUGUGCUAGCAGACAAAACUGAUAAGGUAGGAACAAAAUUUAGAUCCCGGAUAGAACGCAUCAUUCAGAGCAGCAGGAGUUUGAACUCGCUCAUUGACCAGAUUACUAACCUGAAGCAUGUGAGGAGGACACUCCACUAAGAAAACCAUAACAAGCUGACCCAUAGCAGAGAGCCGAGAGGUCUCCAUGCUAAUGAGGUAUCUAGGGGUCCCAAGUGUUUAAUCAAUGAGCAUUGCAUCUCUUCCUGAAAAAGUUAUUUAAUCUCUGCUUCACCCUAAAUAAUCCAUAUACAUCUCCAUUCACCAUGAAUAAAAUAGUUUGGACAAGCAAGGACUGUGCCCUGGGGGACGGGGUUGAGGUGCUUCAUCAUACAGAGCCAUGCCUAAAUCUCACGAAGAAGGCCUCUGUAUCUGCCCCUCCAUACUCCUGACACUCUGGCCUCAGCUGGAUUCCCUCCAAGCCCCACCUCCCCACCCUAGCUCAUCACAGGCCUUUAACCACCAUUGUUAUUCCCUGUGGCACCUGGGUGCACAGGAAUUUGAGAACAAAAGCCUCUGUGCCAGCCCCCACCAUUUCUCACUGGGAAAAACACAGACCUGUGCUAGCCCCUGUGUUUCACCACAGGGAGCGGCAUAUAGUCAACCUUCUGGCACCGCAGUGACAAGGCAGAAACUGCUCCUAGAAACCCACAUCCUAGAUUUACAAAGCCAUGUCACAACAUGUCAUAAUUGCCUUGUUCAUCACUGUACCUGAGCUCCUUUCCUCCGUGUUUUUAAACUGUACAUGGCCUCUGCCUGAAAUGAAGGUGCUAUCCUGUCAAAUAUUUAUAUUGGCUUCAUGUGUUUUUAUUAAUAAACUGUCAACAUCAUUAUUUUUAUAGUUUUAUGUUGCAUUAAAUAUUAACGAUACUCAAAUCGCACUGCCGGUGGCUGCAGUGCAAGUUCCUCACCACCAACAAAAAGGCUCUGGAUUCUCCGAUGAAAGACGCAUAAGCAAACUUCUAGUUUAGUGUGUCUUAAACAGUUCAAUGGCCGCUCUUCUCCAGCCCUUCCAUGGCUGUAUGCUUUCUCCCCAGCAGGCCUGAAGCCUGAUCCUUCUGCUUUCCUGGCGUGACAGAAUCUAAAUUUUCCUCCCUGAGUACACUUGCCCAGGAAAUCUAAGGUCCCAUCCCUGUCUUCCUGCCCAGCCAUUGGACACCAGCAACUUUAUUUGCCAAUCAGAAACAGUUGGGGGUAGGGACCCUCAGUGUCAUACAUGCAGACAUGCCGGUUCCCGGUAAUUUUGGGAGCCAAAUUAACAAAAGUAGCAUUAGAAUGCCACCACUUGUGGGGGUGGGUGGGUAAGGGGGACUUUUGGUAUAGCAUUGGAAAUGUAAAUGAGCUAAAUACCUAAU
rnacentral:lncRNA from 1 species